UGCCCUAGUAACGGCGAGUGAAGCGGCAACAGCUCAAAUUUGAAAUCUGGCUCUUUCAGAGUCCGAGUUGUAAUUUGCAGAGGGCGCUUUGGCGUUGGCAGCGGUCCAAGUUCUUUGGAACAGGACGUCACAGAGGGUGAGAAUCCCGUACGUGGUCGCUAGACUUCGCCGUGUAAAGCCCCUUCGACGAGUCGAGUUGUUUGGGAAUGCAGCUCUAAAUGGGAGGUAAAUUUCUUCUAAAGCUAAAUACUGGCCAGAGACCGAUAGCGCACAAGUAGAGUGAUCGAAAGAUGAAAAGCACUUUGGAAAGAGAGUCAAAUAGCACGUGAAAUUGUUGAAAGGGAAGCGCUUGCAGCCAGACUUGCCUGUAGUUGCUUAUCCAGACUUUUGUCUGGUGCACUCUUCUAUAGGCAGGCCAGCAUCAGUUUGGGCGGUUGGAUAAAGGUCUCUAUCACGUACCUCUCUUCGGGGAGGCCUUAUAGGGGAGACGACAUACAACCAGCCUGGACUGAGGUCCGCGCAUCUGCUAGGAUGCUGGCGUAAUGGCUGUAAGCGGCCCGUCUUGAAACACGGACCAAGGAGUCUAACAUCUAUGCGAGUGUUUGGGUGUCAAGCCCAUACGCGUAAUGAAAGUGAACGGAGGUGGGAACCUUUUAGGUGCACCAUCGACCGAUCCUGAUGUCUUCGGAUGGAUUUGAGUAAGAGCAUGGCUGUUGGGACCCGAAAGAUGGUGAACUAUGCUUGAAUAGGGUGAAGCCAGAGGAAACUCUGGUGGAGGCUCGCAGCGGUUCUGACG
rnacentral:rRNA from 1 species